AUUGAACGCUGGCGGCAGGCCUAACACAUGCAAGUCGAGCGGAAGAAGGGAGCUUUCGCCUGGUUUCAGCGGCGGACGGGGGAGUGAUGCCUAGGAAUCUCCCUGGUAGUGGGGGGUAACGUCCGGAGACGGCCGGUGAUACCGCAGACGACCUGCGGGAGCAAGUGGGGGGUGUUCGGACCGUACGCGAUCAGGUGGGUCUAGGUCGGAUUAGCUAGUUGGUGGGGUGGGGGGCUACCAAGGCGACGAUCCGUAACUGGUCUGAGAGGCUGAUCAGUCACACGAGAACUGAGACACGGUCCAGAGUCCUACGGGAGGGAGCAGUGUGGAAUAUUGGACAAUGGGCGAAAGUCUGACCCAGCCAUGCCGCGUGUGUGAAGAAGGUCUUCGGAGUGUAAAGCACUUUAAGUUGUGAGGAAGCGCAUUAAGUUAAUACCUUGCUGUUUUGACGUUACCAGCAGAAUAAGCACCGGCUAACUUCGUG
rnacentral:rRNA from 1 species